GUGAUGAGCCAGGCGAGCCGGAGACGUGACGCGGCACGACCUCCUCUGA
rnacentral:snoRNA from 1 species